UCCGUAGGUGGAUAAUUAAGUCAGAGGUGAAAUCCUGCAGCUCAACUGUAGAAUUGCCUUUGAUACUGGUUAUCUUGAGUCAUUAUGAAGUGGUUAGAAUGCGUAGUGUAGCGGUGAAAUGCAUAGAUAUUACACAGAAUACCGAUUGCGAAGGCAGAUCACUAAUAAUGUACUGACACUGAUGGACGAAAGCGUGGGGAGCGAACAGGAUUAGAUACCCUGGUAGUC
rnacentral:rRNA from 1 species